CUGAGGUCGGUCAUCGGAAUGGCAAAAAUCCAGACACUUUAUGGAGUAUCUACGAGUGGGCAAGUCUGGUGCCAGCAGCCGCGGUAAUUCCAGCACUCGUAAGGUAUAGAAUUAGUGUUGCGUUUAAAAAGUUCGUAGUUGGAUUGUCAGACUGGAACGGGUCCGGACUUUGGUUCGGUACUCGUUUCCAGUUUUUUGUUCGUGUACGUGCGGCUGCCUUCGGGUGGACGUUGCGUUGCGAGCAGGAUUACUUUGAACGGCUUAAGUGCUCAAUGCGAGACUUAUGUCCGAAUACCGGUGCAUGGAAUAAUGGAACAAGGUUGCGGCCGAGUUUUUUUGGUUUUGUCGGCUGAGACAAUGGUUAACAGGAACAGCCGGGGGCAUUCGUAUCGCGGCGCGAGAGGUGAAAUUCGUGGACCGUCGCGAGACGACCUAAAGCGAAGGCAUUUGCCAAGAGUGUUUUCAUUAAUCAAGAACGAAAGUCAGAGGUUCGAAGGCGAUUAGAUACCGCCCUAGUUCUGACCGUAAACGAUGCCAACUAUCGAUCCGCUUGUGGAUAACAUUCAUGAGCGGGGAGGCCCCCGGAAACGAAAGUUUUUCGGCUACGGGGGAAGUAUGGUUGCAAAGCUGAAACUUAAAGGAAUUGACGGAAGGGCACCACCAGGAGUGGAGCUUGCGGCUUAAUUUGACUCAACACGGGAAACCUCACCCGGCCAGUACAUUGUAAGGAUUGACAGACCGAUAGCUCUUUCUUGAUUCGGUGAAUGGUGGUGCAUGGCCGUUCUUAGUUCGUGGAUUGAUUUGUCUGCUUUAUUGCGAUAACGAGCGAGACUUUGACUGUUAACUAGUGCACGUGUUGCCUCGCGCGUGGUCACUUCUUAAAGGAAUUGUUGGUUUUUAACCUAAAGAGAUUGAGCAAUAACAGGUCUGUGAUGCCCUUAGAUGUUCGGGGCCGCACGCGUGCUACAAUGGUGGUGGCAGCGUGAUUGUCCUUCUCCGAAAGGAGUUGGCAAACAGUUGAGAUAUUACUAUGGCUGGAAUUGAGUGUUGAAAUUUUCUCUCAUGAACGAGGAAU
rnacentral:rRNA from 1 species